AGCGAACGCUGGCGGCAGGCUUAACACAUGCAAGUCGAGCGGGCCCUUCGGGGUCAGCGGCAGAAGGGUGAGUAACACGUGGGAACGUACCCUUUGGUUCGGAAUAACGCUGGGAAACUAGCGCUAAUACCGGAUACGCCCUCUUGGGGAAAGGCUUGCUGCCGAAGGAUCGGCCCGCGUCUGAUUAGCUAGUUGGUGGGGUAAUGGCCUACCAAGGCGACGAUCAGUAGCUGGUCUGAGAGGAUGAUCAGCCACACUGGGACUGAGACACGGCCCAGACUCCUACGGGAGGCAGCAGUGGGGAAUAUUGGACAAUGGGCGCAAGCCUGAUCCAGCCAUGCCGCGUGAGUGAUGAAGGCCUUAGGGUUGUAAAGCUCUUUUGUCCGGGACGAUAAUGACGGUACCGGAAGAAUAAGCCCCGGCUAACUUCGUG
rnacentral:rRNA from 1 species